GAUGAACGCUGGCGGCGUGCCUAAUACAUGCAAGUCGAGCGAACGGACGAGAAGCUUGCUUCUCUGAUGUUAGCGGCGGACGGGUGAGUAACACGUGGAUAACCUACCUAUAAGACUGGGAUAACUUCGGGAAACCGGAGCUAAUACCGGAUAAUAUUUUGAACCGCAUGGUUCAAAAGUGAAAGACGGUCUUGCUGUCACUUAUAGAUGGAUCCGCGCUGCAUUAGCUAGUUGGUAAGGUAACGGCUUACCAAGGCAACGAUGCAUAGCCGACCUGAGAGGGUGAUCGGCCACACUGGAACUGAGACACGGUCCAGACUCCUACGGGAGGCAGCAGUAGGGAAUCUUCCGCAAUGGGCGAAAGCCUGACGGAGCAACGCCGCGUGAGUGAUGAAGGUCUUCGGAUUGUAAAACUCUGUUAUUAGGGAAGAACAUAUGUGUAAGUAACUGUGCACAUCUUGACGGUACCUAAUCAGAAAGCCACGGCUAACUACGUGCCAGCAGCCGCGGUAAUACGUAGGUGGCAAGCGUUAUCCGGAAUUAUUGGGCGUAAAGCGCGCGUAGGCGGUUUUUUAAGUCUGAUGUGAAAGCCCACGGCUCAACCGUGGAGGGUCAUUGGAAACUGGAAAACUUGAGUGCAGAAGAGGAAAGUGGAAUUCCUAGUGUAGCGGUGAAAUGCGUAGAUAUUAGGAGGAAUACCGGUGGCGAAGGCGACUUUCUGGACUUUUACUGACGCUCAGGUACGAAAGCGUGGGGAGCAAACAGGAUUAGAUACCCUGGUAGUCCACGCCGUAAACGAUGAAUGCUAGGUGUUGGGGGUCAAACCUCGGUGCCGAAGUUAACACAUUAAGCAUUCCGCCUGGGGAGUACGGUGGCAACACUGAAACUCAAAGGAAUUGACGGGGGCCCGCACAAGCGGCGGAGCAUGUGGAUUAAUUCGAUGCAACGCGAAGAACCUUACCUGGGCUUGACAUAUACAAGACAGGCGUAGAGAUACGUCCUCCCUUGUGGUUUGUAUACAGGUGGUGCAUGGUUGUCGUCAGCUCGUGUCGUGAGAUGUUGGGUUAAGUCCCGCAACGAGCGCAACCCUUGUCUUAUGUUGCCAGCAUUUGGUUGGGGACUCAUGAGAGACUGCCGGGGUCAACUCGGAGGAAGGUGGGGAUGACGUCAAAUCAUCAUGCCCCUUAUGUCCAGGGCUUCACACAUGCUACAAUGGUCGGUACAACGCGCAGCGACACUGUGAGGUGGAGCGAAUCGCUGAAAGCCGGCCUUAGUUCGGAUUGGGGUCUGCAACUCGACCCCAUGAAGUCGGAGUCGCUAGUAAUCGCAGAUCAGCAACGCUGCGGUGAAUACGUUCCCGGGCCU
rnacentral:rRNA from 1 species